rnacentral:misc_RNA from 1 species
AACGCACAUUGCACCUUUUGGUAUUCCGAAAGGUAUGCUUGUUCGAGCGUCGUUUAAACUAUAUCAAUUUAAUUAUUGAAUGUAUUGAGUGCUUUUUUCUCUUGGAAACAAAAGAAACACUCCAAAAUGAUUGAGCGAUCUUGACUAGAUUUAAUUGACGCAUUAAAAUUUUAUUUUCGUCAGUAGAAGAAGUCAUGGGUCUGCCAAAUUAAAACAUUCCUUUUUUUUUCUGAUUUAUUUCAGAAAAAAAGAGGAUAUCAUUAUUAUUAUCGACCUCGGAUCAAGUAGGAUUACCCGCUGAACUUAA